UAACGAAUAUUCCGCAAUGCGCGAAAGCGUGACGGAGCAAUGCCGCGUGCAGGAUGAAGCCCCUCGGGGUGUAAACUGCUGUCAGGGUUUAGGAACACAAUGACCAGACCCAGAGGAAGGGCCGGCUAACUCUGUGCCAGCAGCCGCGGUAAUACAGAGGGCCCGAGCGUUGAUCGGAAUCACUGGGCUUAAAGGGUUCGUAGGCGGAUCGGCAAGUAUGUUGUGAAAUCCCACGGCUCAACCGUGGAAUUGCUUCGUAGACUGCCGAUCUUGAGCACGACAGGGGCCGUCAGAACUCUAGGUGGAGCGGUGAAAUGCGUAGAUAUCUAGAGGAAUGCCAAAGGUGAAGACAGACGGCUGGGUCGUUGCUGACGCUCAGGAACGAAAGCAUGGGUAGCGAACGGGAUUAGAUACCCCCGUAGUCC
rnacentral:rRNA from 1 species